UACGGGGGGAGCAAGCGUUGUUCGGAUUUACUGGGCGUAAAGGGCGCGUAGGCGGUCAGCACAAGUCAGUUGUGAAAUCUCCGGGCUUAACUCGGAAAGGUCAACUGAUACUGUGCGACUAGAGUGCGGAAGGGGCAACUGGAAUUCUCGGUGUAGCGGUGAAAUGCGUAGAUAUCUGGAGGAACACCGGUGGCGAAGGCGGCGUUUUGGACUGCUACUGACACUGAGGAACGAAAGCCAGGGGAGCAAACGGG
rnacentral:rRNA from 1 species